CGCUAUCACUCCUACGGGAGGCAGCAGUGGGGAACUAUUGCACAAUGGGGGAAACCCUGAUGCAGCCAUGCCGGCGUGUGUGAAGAAGGCCUUCGGGUUGUAAAGCACUUUCAGUAGGGAGGAAGGUAGUGUAGUUAACACCUGCAUUAUUUGACGUUACCUACAGAGGAAGCACCGGCUAACUCCGUGCCAGCAGCCGCGGUAAUACGGAGGGUGCGAGCGUUAAUCGGAAUUACUGGGCGUAAAGCGCAUGCAGGCGGCCUGUUAAGUCAGAUGUGAAAGCCCGGGGCUUAACCUCGGAAUUGCAUUUGAAACUGGCAGGCUAGAGUCUUGUAGAGGGGGUAGAAUUUCAGGUGUAGCGGUGAAAUGCGUAGAGAUCUGAAGGAAUACCAGUGGCGAAGGCGGCCCCCUGGACAAAGACUGACGCUCAGAUGCGAAAGCGUGGGGAGCAAACAGGAUUAGAUACCCUGGUAG
rnacentral:rRNA from 1 species